rnacentral:rRNA from 1 species
AGCGUAUAUUAAAGUUGUUGCAGUUAAAAAGCUCGUAGUUGUAUUUCGGGAUUAGUACGUUGGUCGUGCCUUCGGUACGUACUGGUGUUACUGAUUCCUACCUUCUGACGAACCAUCAUGUCAUUAAUUUGGUGUGGCGGGGAAUCAGGACUGUUACUUUGAAAAAAUUAGAGUGUUUAAAGCAGGCUCGCGCUUGAAUACAUUAGCAUGGAAUAAUGAAAUAGGACGUUGACCCUAUUUUGUUGGUUUCUAGGAUUGACGUAAUGAUUAAUAGGGAUAGUUGGGGGCAUUAGUAUUCAAUUGUCAGAGGUGAAAUUCUUGGAUUUAUUGAAGACUAACUACUGCGAAAGCAUUUGCCAAGGAUGUUUUCAUUAAUCAAGAACGAAAGUUAGGGGAUCGAAGACGAUCAGAUACCGUCGUAGUCUUAACCAUAAACUAUGCCGACUAGGGAUCGGAUGAUGUUAUUUUUAAUGACUC